GCCCCAGUUACUGUGGCCUCUCAACUCUCCCUAACUUUGACCCUCAAUUCUGAAAAAUGGGCCUCAGCCUUAGCUCACAAACAUUUAUUGAACCCCUGCAAUGAAGCAGGCACUCUGGUCUUUACUGGAAAUACAGUUACAAAUAAGGUACUGGCCUAGCUUCCUGGUGACUACAGGCCAACGAGAGACAGGCUCGGGUAGACAGGAAGUUGCAGUAAGCUGCACUGAGUAUUGGGAUGGGGAAAUAGAAGCAAGUAGGAGGGCAGCUAACCCCAGCUGGGGGAGGAAGGGUGGGGCAGGAACUCCUAGGGGAAGUGAUAACCAAGCCCUCCUACAAAGACAAGUAGAAGGGAAUCCAGCAAAGUAGAGGGUUGUGGGUGUGGACAGUGACAUUGGGGAAAGGAACAGUAAGUUCAAUGGCCUGUAGAUUAGAUAAAGGUCUCAGGAUCUGAACACAAUUCAAUAUGGCUGAAGCCACAGAGGACCAUGGAGGAAGGGCAAAAGAUGUGACUCUAGUAGUAGGAGUCAGAUUAUGACCAGCUUACAAGUAGGGUGACCACAUACAUUUAUUGUCCAAAUCGAGGAUUCAGCCAUUGUAAACUGGGACCACUCUGGCAAACCAAUUCAGAUAGUCAUUUCACUUGUAAAGCAAGUAAGGAUUUGACUGUAAGUGAUUCUGGGUCCCUCUCUCUGUCUUACUAUACCAAACUUCACCUCAGUGGCCUGCCUGAAAUGUAAGUCCCUUCUGUACAGAGGCCCUGGCUUACUCUUGCUGAACGUCUCCUGUGUAUGCCCUACACAUGUGGAUGGAAAUAAUUUCUUGCUCAGCUUCUCUAGUCAAUCUUAUCCCAGGGUGGUCAACCAGGGGGUGCCAGAAGAGACGCUAUCUAGAAUCUGCAAAAAGCAUCUUGUUUGCGUCAUAUGCCUCCAAAUAAAACAAGUCAAUAUUUCUCACUAAUGAUGGGGUUUUGGAGUGCUGGGGGUUCAGAGCUGAUGGCCAAGAAAGAAUCCUUAAACACAUCUUUGGUGCAAAAAAGAUGAUUUAAUUAAAGCACAGGGACAGGACUCAUGGGCAGAAAAAAUUGCACCGGGGUUGUGAAAAGUGACUGGUUAUAUACUCUGGAGUUGAGGGAGAUAAAGGCAAAAGGGAGACUUCCAGAAGGACUUUGAUAUGCUAAAGAGGCCUGAGACCUUGCUAUUGUCAAGCUAAGUAGUUUAUCCUCUAGUAAGGCAUUAACAUCAGGAUGGUAGGGGGUUCCUAGAAAAAUGUUACAUUCUGUAUUUUUCUCAAGUAUUUGUCAGUGGGCUGCAGGUUAUAAGGAAAUUUUACCUGCCAUUUCCUUCUUGCCUUUGUUCCCCACAUCACUGUGGCGGGUAGGGUGAUAUUAGGGGUUCUAGGAAACUGUCUAUAGGUUUCUGGAGAUUAGGCUAUUGAUAAGAUUGCCUUUUUCUUGUAAUUUUCUAAGAUAUUUGUAAACUGAUGAAGACUCAUGUCCUGCAUGACUGUGAUCUCUAUCAGUUAACCAUUUGUUUUCUUUCCUUUCCUUUGUUCUUGGGCAGCCAGGCCUGCCUGAGGAAUAUCACACAUAUCCCACCUGGGGGGUGGGGGUGGGAGGUGUUGUUAGCUUGUGUUUUGCCCUCAGUUUGCCUUACGUUCCCUCAUCACUAAGAUUGUUUCAUUUUUUACCAACACCUACAUGUGCACUGAGUUAGUAUCAGCGGUUAUAGUUCACAUCCAGGCUGCCCACUUACUAGGUCUGUGAACUCAAGCUACCUGACUGUGAGACCCAUUCUCCCAUUUGCAAAGUAAAGAAAAUAGAACCAGCUUCCCAGAGUUGUUAGGGGUAAAUGAGGGAACACAGGUGAUAGAACCUAACUUACUGUCUGAUUUGGGAGAGAUGCUCUAUGAGAAAUAAGAGAGAUGAUUCAUUUUCAGAAAUACCAAAUAAAAGCUGUGCUGUCUAGAUAACAGUAUGUUUACAACUGUUUUCUAUUGGAAAUAUAUAGGAACUCUUCCCCCUCCCAUAAUGGAGUCCCAAACCCUUGGACACUUCACUUACUGGUUCUUCUUCCUCUCUUGGUUUCCUGAGCUUAUUUUCAUGGGCUUUGCAAUGAGCAUGCGCCAAAAAACGAAGGACUGAAAGUCACUGAGUCACAUCAGGAAAUGUACAUUUGUUCCAAUCAGACGACUUUUUGCCUUACUUGGGUAUAGGCGACCUCAAGGUAAGACUAUAACCUCUGUAGUACUCAACCAAUGAGGAAUCAGGCAAGAGACUUGCAUGCUGGGAGAUAAAUUGUCUGCUGUAACGGCCCCAAGUGUGCCUGUCCGUCAGACAUCCGCUCUUGCAAGAACAUUGAUUAAACCUAUCUUCACUGUGCUUGGAGUCUCUGCGUCCCUCCUUUGAUUGGUGAUCAACAUUCCCCUCCCAAUGAGCAAAGCAAGGGCCUGCUCAUCACCUUUGGAACACACUGCCUUUGUUUGAUCAUGGCUGUGACUGAGUUCCUGAGAACUUACAUCUCAUAUGAAACAAUGAAGAUAACUCAGAAGACCCCAUUCUGGAAGAAUGUGAUUCCAUGCUCUUGUCCUCUGCCUAGAGCUGGUGUAGAAGAUACAUUGACUUUCAGAGAUUUGGGUUUGAAUUCUAGCCUUGUCACUUUCUAGCCUUAGUUUCCUCACCUGUAAAAUGGAACUAAUAACCUACCUCAAUGGACUUUUUAUAAGGAUAUAAUUAGUUACCACAUGCAAAGUGCCUGGUGUGCAAUAAACACUCAUAGGUAAUGUCGUCAUGAUUUAUACAAAUCACCAGGCUAGGAAAAUCUGUUCUGGUUCUCUUGCUGUCACUUUCUCUCAGAUGUCUGCCAUUUUGAAAUUUGCCCUGUAAUUAAACAUUUUCAGUCAAAUCACUUCCUUGAGGUUUAUGGUAACAUGCAUUCUAAUUCAUUGUUGGGAUAGUUAAUUUUCUAGGUAUUUCUGAACUUAAAAAAAAUAGAAAUGUUCUAUUUAUUCACAUUUAUUUCUUCCUUAAAAGCACUGGUUGAGAUCAUGAGACCAUUACCUCAGAGAGCUCAGACAUUAUUAAAACAAAUUACUCUAGGCCAGUGUAAGGAGAGCCCUAACACUCACUCUCACAGAGGAGGCUGGGAGGCCCCUUGAGAAGGAGUGAAAGAAUGGAUCUCUUGUUGGCUCACACACAUUAUUUAGAAAUAGCUUAUUUUGUUAAUAUCACCAGAUGGUUCCAAGCCAUACAUAAAAACAUUCUACCCCACACUGAUUUGCUUGACAAGUGUCCCACAACAAAGGGAGUUAACUAGACUGAAAGGCAUGUGUCUAUUUAGGGGCAAGCCUGGUUCAAGGUUCAUGUGGUCUGUUGAUGAGAGCUCUUUCUUGGGAAUACUAAAAUCCUAAUGUUGAUGAGAAAAGUACUUUCUUGAGCCAGAAAUUAUGCACUACAAAUUUUAUUCUACCACUUCCUGGUGAUGUGGCAAGAGUCAAAUGUUUCAUCUCUAGGCCACCAUUUCUUUGUUUGUAAAGCAGAGAUAGUAAUAGGUGUCUCACAGAGUCCUAGUAAGAUUUAAGUGAUUAUUAUGGAAGAAUCUGGAACAGAAACAGAUCCACAGCAAGCACCCAACAAAUGUUGGGUGAAAUAUUAGUUCACCCAGUAGAUCAAUCUGAAUACAUGUCUUCAUAUUUCAGAAUCUAAAUUCAAGAAGGCAGGGAUGAUAAUGGCGUGGAAAGUUUUCAACUUUGAGUCAAGAAAAAAAAGCUAAACUGUACUUACUUCUUGCUGUGUUGCUUUGGGCAAAUUGCUCAACUUUUCUGAGUCUUAUUUUUUUAAUGUGCAGAAUGGGGCAUAAUAAUAAUAUCUCUUCUCUGUAGUUUCUAGGAUUACUGAGGGAGUAAAAUUUGUCUCUGUGUAUCCUCAGCCUUCAGAUUCUUCAUUCAUUCUCUUUCUAAAAGUAACAACAUUGUUGAAUGUGCAUUUGAGUUUUCUCAAAUUACUAACUUCUAAUGGAGCAGAUAGCCUUAAAAAUAUCCAGUGGAAGAAUCAUAGUUAACUUCUGGAAUUUUCUGAGGGAGCAUUUCAUAUGCAAAGGCAAAUUAGCAAUACUAAUAGAACAUUAGUAAGAGCAGUGGUUAAGAUAAUUAUCCAUCUCUGGGGAAAUGCCACCACCUUCUGUGAUCUUAUGCUUUCAAAUGCAGGAAGAUGCAAUAAUUUCAUGAUAAUUUCAGUUUCAGAACUACCUUUACUAAGUGUCUGAAUAUUCAUUUCUGAAUACUCUACAAGCCGAAUAUUACAGCCAGUUGGAUAAAUCAGUUGGAUAAUUACAGCCAGUGUUGGAUAAAUCAAAGGAUAAGGCUAAUGAAAUCCUGAGCUUGUCAAGGAUUCAGACCCAGUGAAUUGGUUGGUAUUCUAGAAAAUGGGGUAUGCAUGGAAGUAAAACAUUGCCAAGAGGAUAAUAACUUGGGUUUGAUUUAGUUGAACAGAAAAUGCUUAAGUUAAUUUAUCCUCUUUCAUUGUCGGAGGGGAAAAAAACCCAAACAAACCUGUCUUUAAUUUCUAAAUAAUAUAUGAAUGUAUUCUUACUUGAAAAAAAUUUAAACCUUUUAAAGUUUACAUCCCUCUCCUCACCACUUCCCUUCUCAAAGGUGACUAUAUUAUCAGUUCAUUGUGUAUCUUUUUCUAAGUCUUUUCCUUGCCUUUUCUUUAAUAUGUAAUGUAUUUAUAGAAACACAGUUUCAUUAGUGCGUAUUUGUGUAUAAAUAAUGCAAACUGUCCUGUAACUACCUUUUUACUCUACAAUGUGUAUUAAAGGUAGUCCCAUGUCAGUAUGCA